rnacentral:misc_RNA from 1 species
AAGAGAUCUUCUGCCCUUCUAGGGUAGACCUUCCAACCCUUUGUAUAUUCAUACCUCUGUUGCUUUGGCAGGCCCGUCUUUGACCGCCGGUGGUAUACACUGGCCAGUGUCUGCCAGAGAAUUCAACUCUGAAAUGCAUGUUGUCUGAGCAUUUAUAAUAACAUUUA